AAAAAUAAAAUAAAAAACACACAAGAUAAAUAAAGCUAAAACAUAAACAAAAUACAAGAAAACAAGUGUAAAUAAAUAUCACCCACCCCACACUUGAAGGACACACUGUCCCUAGCGUACAAAAAAAAAGAAAUAAAAAAGAAAAAAGAACUAAUACAGCCCUGAUUAUGGCUCCGGAGGGAAAAGAGGUGCAUCAUCAGGG
rnacentral:lncRNA from 1 species